CCAUCUUGGUCUUGCCCUAUGGGGGCGGCCAUCUUGGUUUGCAGAGGGCUGCUAUCUUGCUCUAUGAGGGCAACCAUCGUGGUAUUGCCCUAUGGGGGCAGCCAUCUUGGUUUGCAGGGUGCAGCCAUCUUGUUCUUGCCUUAUGGGAGCAGCCAUCUUGGUUUGGAGGGUGCAGCCAUCUUGCUCUUGCCCUAUGGGGGCGGCCAUCUUGGUUUGCAGAGGGCUGCUAUCUUGCUCUAUGAGGGCAGCCAUCUUGGUAUUGCCCUAUGGGGGCAGCCAUCUUGGUUUGCAGGGUGCAGCCAUCUUGCUGUUUCCUUACGGGGGCAGCCGUCUUGGUUUGGAAGGUGCAGCCAUCUUGUUCUUCCUUUAUGGGGACAGCCAUUUUGGUUUGCAGGGGGCUGCCAUCUUGCCCUAUGGGGGCAGCCAUCUUAGUUUGGAGGGUGCAGUCAUCUGGUUCUUGUCCUAUGGGGGCAGACAUCUUGGUUUGCAGGGGGCUGCCAUCUUGCCGUAUGGGAGCAGCCAUCUUGUUUUUGUUGUAUGGGGGUAGCCAUCUUGGUUUCCAGGUGGCAGCCAUCUUGGUUUUGUGGGAUGGCAGCCGUCUUUGUUUCCUGUUGGCAGCCAUCUUGGCUUCCUGUUGGCAGCCAUCUUGGCAUGGCGGUCAAGCGGCCAUCUUGGUUUCCUACUGGUGGCCAUCUUGGCUUGGUGGGCUGGCAGCCAUCUUGGUUUCCUGGUGGCGGCCAUCUUGGUUUCUUGUUGGUGGCCAUCUUGGCUUCCUGUUGUCAGCCAUGUUGGCAUGGCGGUCAGGCGGCCAUCUUGGUUUCCUACUGGUGGCCAUUUUGGCUUAGUGGGCUGGCUGCCAUCUUGGUUUGCUGUUGUCAGCCGUCUUGCCCUGAUAGUGGCAGCCAUCUUGGCUUCCUGUUGGCAGCCAUCUUGGCUUGGUGGGCAGGCGGCCAUCUUGGCUUCCUGUUGGCGGCCAUCUUGGCUUGGUGGACAGUCGGCCAUCUUGGCUUCCUGUUGGUGGCCAUCUUGGCCUGUUGGCAGGCAUCUUGUUUUCCGGUUGUUGGCCAUCUUGGCUUCCUGUUGGCGGCCAUUUUGGCCUGGUUGGCAGACGGCCAUCUUGGCUUCCUAUUGGCGGCCAUCUUGCCUACAUUCCUCUCAUUUUUUUCCACUUUCCCCCCGUUUUCUCCCCGGUUUUGGCAGCGUGGUGCUGGCACGGCGCAGGCUGAGCACGCCAUCUUGUUUUCCUAUUGUCGGCCAUCUUGGCUUCCUGUUAGUGGCCAUCUUGACUUGGUGGGCAGGUGGCUAUCUUGCUUUCCUGUUGGCGGCCAUCUUGGCUUGGUGGGCAGGCGGCCAUCCUGUCUUCCGUUUGGCAGCCAUCCUGUCUUCCUGUUGGCGGCCAUCUUGGCUUCCUGUUGGUGGCCAUCUUGACUUGGUGGGCAGAUGGCCAUCUUGGCUUCCUGUUGGCGGCCAUCUUCGCUUGGUGGACAGUCGGCCAUCUUGGCUUCCUGUUGUUGGCCAUCUUGGCUUCCUAUUGGCGGCCAUCUUCGCUUGGUGGACAGUCGGCCAUCUUGGCUUCCUGUUGUUGGCCAUCUCGGCUUCCUGUUGGUGGCCAUCUUGGCUUGGUUGGCAGACGGCCAUCUUGGCUUCCUGUUGGCGGCCAUUUUGGCUUGGUGGCCAGGCAGCCAUCUUGCUUUCCUGUUGUUGGCCAUCUUGGUUUCCUGUUGGCGGCCAUCUUGGCCUGGUUGGCAGACGGCCAUCUUGGCUUCCUGUUGGCAGCCAUUUUGGCCUGGUGGGUAGGCAGUCAUCUUGCUUUCCUGUUGUUGGUCUUCUUCGCUUCCUGUUGGCAGCCAUCUUGGCUUGGUGGGCAAGCGGCCAUCUUGGCUUCCUGUUGGCAGCCAUCUUUUCUUCCUGUGGGUGGCCAUUUUGGCUUGGUGGGCAGUCGGCCAUCUUGGAUUUCGCGUUAAUGGCCAUCUUGCUUAAUUUCCUCUCAUUUUUUCCCACUUUCCCCCCGUUUUCUCCCCGGUUUUGGCAGCGUGGUGCUGGCACGGCGCAGGCUGAGCACAUCCCUGUCCGCUUUGCCGGCGGCGGCGCGGGAUUUCGUGGAGGAAGCCACCCGGUUGUGCCGACCCAGGGAAGUUUUGCUGUGCGAUGGAUCCGAGGAGGAGGGCAAGGAGCUGCUCAGGGGGCUGCAGGAGGACGGGGUGCUGCAUCCGCUGCCCAAAUAUGACAACUGGUGAGCAUUUUAGGGAGAAAAAUGGGAAUUUUGGGGUUAAAUCGGGGCAUUUGGGGUCGAAUCAGGGGAUUUUGAGGUCAAUCCGGUGCGUUUUGGGGUCAAAAAUGGGGGAUUUGGGGUCAAAAAUGGGGAAUUUGAGGUC
ensembl:lncRNA